UACAGGGGGUGCAAACGUUGCUCGGAAUCAUUGGGCGUAAAGCGCACGUAGGCGGUUCGUUAUGUCGGAUGUGAAAGCCCUUGGCUUAACCGAGGAAGUGCAUCCGAAACUGGCGAGCUAGAGUACUAAAGAGGAUCGCGGAAUUCCCGGUGUAGAGGUGAAAUUCGUAGAUAUUCGCAAGAACACCAGUGGCGAAGGCGGCCAACUGGUCCGGUACUGACGCUGAGGUGCGAAAGCGUGGGGAGCAAACAGG
rnacentral:rRNA from 1 species